GCCAAAAUAGCUCAGCUGGGAGAGCGUUGGACUGAAGAUCAAACAGUCCCUGGUUCAAUCCUGGGUUUCGGCA